rnacentral:rRNA from 1 species
UACGUAGGAGACGAGCGUUGUCCGGAGUUACUGGGCGUAAAGGGUGCGCAGGUGGCCGCGCGCGUGGGGGGUGAAAUCGCCUGGCUUAACUGGGCGGGGGCCUUCCAGACGGCGUGGCUUGAGCAGCGGAGGGGGGCGUGGAAUUCCGGGUGGAGCGGUGGAAUGCGUAGAGAUCCGGAAGAACACCGGUGGCGAAGGCAGCCCCCUGGGCUGACACUGACGCUCAGGCACGAAAGCGUGGGGAGCAAACAGG